CGGGUGAGUAACACGUGAGUAACCUACCCUUGACUUUGGGAUAACUUCAGGAAACUGGGGCUAAUACCGGAUAGGAGCUCCUGCUGCAUGGUGGGGGUUGGAAAGUUUCGGCGGUUGGGGAUGGACUCGCGGCUUAUCAGCUUGUUGGUGGGGUAGUGGCUUACCAAGGCUUUGACGGGUAGCCGGCCUGAGAGGGUGACCGGCCACAUUGGGACUGAGAUACGGCCCAG
rnacentral:rRNA from 1 species